CCUACGGGUGGCAGCAGUAGGGAAUCUUCCACAAUGGGCGAAAGCCUGAUGGAGCAACGCCGCGUGGGUGAAGAAGGUCUUCGGAUCGUAAAACCCUGUUGUUAGAGAAGAAAGUGCGUGAGAGUAACUGUUCACGUCUCGACGGUAUCUAACCAGAAAGCCACGGCUAACUACGUGCCAGCAGCCGCGGUAAUACGUAGGUGGCAAGCGGUAUCCGGAGUUAGUGGGCGUAAAGGGAACGCAGGCGGUCUUUUAAGUCUGAUGUGAAAGCCUACGGCUUAACCAGAGUAGUGCAUUGGAAACUGGGAGACUUGAGUGCAGGAGAGGAGGGUGGAACUCCAGGUGUAGCGGUGAAAUGCGUAGAUAUAAGGAGGAACACCAAUGGCGAAAGCGACUCGCUAGUCUGUAACUGACGCUGAGGUUCGAAAGCGUGGGGAGCAAACAGGAUUAGAUACCCUUGUAGUC
rnacentral:rRNA from 1 species